CCUACGGGAGGCAGCAGUGAGGAAUAUUGGUCAAUGGUCGGGAGACUGAACCAGCCAAGCCGCGUGAGGGAUGAAGGUACAGAGUAUCGUAAACCUCUUUUGUCAGGGAACAAAGGCGGGGACGCGUCCACGGAUGAGUGUACCUGAAGAAAAAGAAUCGGCUAACUCCGUGCCAGCAGCCGCGGUAAUACGGAGGAUGCGAGGGUUAUACGGUUUUAUUGGGGUUAAAGGGUGCGCAGGCGGGUUGUUAAGUCAGAGGUAAAAGCCCGGGGCUCAACCCCGGCCCGCCGUUGAAACUGGCAGUCUCGAGUUGGAGAGAAGUAUGCGGAAUGCGCGGUGUAGCGGUGAAAUGCAUAGAUAUCGCGCAGAACUCCGAUUGCGAAGGCAGCAUGCCGGCUCCACACUGACGCUGAGGCACGAAAGCGUGGGUAUCGAACAGGAUUAGAUACCCUAGUAGUC
rnacentral:rRNA from 1 species